UCCCUGGUGGCUCAGAUGGUAAAGCGUCUGCCUGCAAUGCGGGAGACCCGGGUUUGAUCCCUGGGUUGGGAA
rfam:Ovis aries breed Texel chromosome 11, whole genome shotgun sequence.